rnacentral:ncRNA from 1 species
UACCUGGUUGAUCCUGCCAGUAGUCAUAUGCUUGUCUCAAAGAUUAAGCCAUGCAUGUCCAAGUACAUGCCGAAACAAGGUGAAACCGCGAAUGGCUCAUUAAAUCAGUUAUGGUUCCUUAGAUCGUAAAAAUCCUACUUGGAUAACUGUGGCAAUUCUAGAGCUAAUACAUGCAACCAAGCUCCGACCUUUGCCGGGACGAGCGCUUUUAUUAGAACAAGACCAAUACGGACUUCCUCUGUUUCGCGUGUUUCUCGGAGUCGGCCUUCGCGGGCACGGCCGGGUGCGCGCGUUCUGGGGUUCCGUUAAUCCCAAUUGGUGACUCUGGAUAACUCGAAGCCGAUCGCACGGUCUAGUACCGGCGAUGAAUCUUUUCAAAUGUCUGCCUUAUCAACUGUCGAUGGUAGGUUACGCGCCUACCAUGGUUGUAACGGGUAACGGGGAAUCAGGGUUCGAUUCCGGAGAGGGAGCCUGAGAAACGGCUACCACAUCCAAGGAAGGCAGCAGGCACGCAAAUUACCCACUCUCAGAACGAGGAGGUAGUGACGAAAAAUAACAAUACGGGACUCUUCCGAGGCCCCGUAAUUGGAAUGAGUACACUUUAAAUCCUUUAAC